UGGGGAAUUUUGGACAAUGGGCGAAAGCCUGAUCCAGCAAUGCCGCGUGUGUGAAGAAGGCCUUCGGGUUGUAAAGCACUUUUGUCCGGAAAGAAAUCCUUGGCUCUAAUACAGUCGGGGGAUGACGGUACCGGAAGAAUAAGCACCGGCUAACUACGUGCCAGCAGCCGCGGUAAUACGUAGGGUGCAAGCGUUAAUCGGAAUUACUGGGCGUAAAGCGUGCGCAGGCGGUUUGCUAAGACCGAUGUGAAAUCCCCGGGCUCAACCUGGGAACUGCAUUGGUGACUGGCAGGCUAGAGUAUGGCAGAGGGGGGUAGAAUUCCACGUGUAGCAGUGAAAUGCGUAGAGAUGUGGAGGAAUACCGAUGGCGAAGGCAGCCCCCUGGGCCAAUACUGACGCUCAUGCACGAAAAGCGUGGGGAGCAAACAGGAUUAGAUACCCUGGUAGUCCACGCCCUAAACGAUGUCAACUAGUUGUUGGGGAUUCAUUUCCUAGUAACGUAGCUAACGCGUGAAGUUGACCGCCUGGGGAGUACGGUCGCAAGAUUAAAACUUAAAUGAAUUGACGGGGUCAUAGCUGUUUCCU
rnacentral:rRNA from 1 species